rnacentral:tRNA from 1 species
ACAUUGGUAGUUCAGUGAUAGAAUUCUCACCUUCCAUGCCGGAAACCUGGGUUUCAUUCCUGGCCAAUGCA